UACGAAGGGGGCUAGCGUUGUUCGGAAUCACUGGGCGUAAAGCGGCACGUAGGCGGAUUGUUAAGUCGGGGGUGAAAUCCUGAGGCUCAACCUCAGAACUGCCUUCGAUACUGGCAAUCUCGAGUCCGGAAGAGGUUGGUGGAACAGCUAGUGGUAGAGGUGAAAUUCGUAGAUAUUAGCUAGAACACCAGUGGCGAAAGGCGGCCAACUGGUCCGGUACGUG
rnacentral:rRNA from 1 species